rnacentral:rRNA from 1 species
AUGGACAACCCUUCGAGUAAGCAGGACAUGUCCUACUAUGAUCAUGUUCAGAAGCGCCAUGAGGAGAAAGGCUGCUUAUAUGCAUGCCUGUUUACACUGUGCUGUUGCUUCUGCUGCUACGAGACCUGCGAGUGCUGCAUGGAGUCCUUGUGCUGCUGCGGCUAA